GGGUUGUGAGGUUAAGCGACUAAGCGUACACGGUGGAUGCCCUGGCAGUCAGAGGCGAUGAAGGACGUGCUAAUCUGCGAUAAGCGUCGGUAAGGUGAUAUGAACCGUUAUAACCGGCGAUUUCCGAAUGGGGAAACCCAGUGUGAUUCGUCACACUAUCAUUAACUGAAUCCAUAGGUUAAUGAGGCGAACCGGGGGAACUGAAACAUCUAAGUACCCCGAGGAAAAGAAAUCAACCGAGAUUCCCCCAGUAGCGGCGAGCGAACGGGGAGCAGCCCAGAGCCUGAAUCAGUGUGUGUGUUAGUGGAAGCGUCUGGAAAGGCGCGCGAUACAGGGUGACAGCCCCGUACACAAAAAUGCACAUACUGUGAGCUCGAUGAGUAGGGCGGGACACGUGGUAUCCUGUCUGAAUAUGGGGGGACCAUCCUCCAAGGCUAAAUACUCCUGACUGACCGAUAGUGAACCAGUACCGUGAGGGAAAGGCGAAAAGAACCCCGGCGAGGGGAGUGAAAAAGAACCUGAAACCGUGUACGUACAAGCAGUGGGAGCACAGAGCAAUCUGUGUGACUGCGUACCUUUUGUAUAAUGGGUCAGCGACUUAUAUUCUGUAGCAAGGUUAACCGAAUAGGGGAGCCGAAGGGAAACCGAGUCUUAACUGGGCGUUAAGUUGCAGGGUAUAGACCCGAAACCCGGUGAUCUAGCCAUGGGCAGGUUGAAGGUUGGGUAACACUAACUGGAGGACCGAACCGACUAAUGUUGAAAAAUUAGCGGAUGACUUGUGGCUGGGGGUGAAAGGCCAAUCAAACCGGGAGAUAGCUGGUUCUCCCCGAAAGCUAUUUAGGUAGCGCCUCGUGAAUUCAUCUCCGGGGGUAGAGCACUGUUUCGGCAAGGGGGUCAUCCCGACUUACCAACCCGAUGCAAACUGCGAAUACCGGAGAAUGUUAUCACGGGAGACACACGGCGGGUGCUAACGUCCGUCGUGAAGAGGGAAACAACCCAGACCGCCAGCUAAGGUCCCAAAGUCAUGGUUAAGUGGGAAACGAUGUGGGAAGGCCCAGACAGCCAGGAUGUUGGCUUAGAAGCAGCCAUCAUUUAAAGAAAGCGUAAUAGCUCACUGGUCGAGUCGGCCUGCGCGGAAGAUGUAACGGGGCUAAACCAUGCACCGAAGCUGCGGCAGCGACGCUUAUGCGUUGUUGGGUAGGGGAGCGUUCUGUAAGCCUGCGAAGGUGUGCUGUGAGGCAUGCUGGAGGUAUCAGAAGUGCGAAUGCUGACAUAAGUAACGAUAAAGCGGGUGAAAAGCCCGCUCGCCGGAAGACCAAGGGUUCCUGUCCAACGUUAAUCGGGGCAGGGUGAGUCGACCCCUAAGGCGAGGCCGAAAGGCGUAGUCGAUGGGAAACAGGUUAAUAUUCCUGUACUUGGUGUUACUGCGAAGGGGGGACGGAGAAGGCUAUGUUGGCCGGGCGACGGUUGUCCCGGUUUAAGCGUGUAGGCUGGUUUUCCAGGCAAAUCCGGAAAAUCAAGGCUGAGGCGUGAUGACGAGGCACUACGGUGCUGAAGCAACAAAUGCCCUGCUUCCAGGAAAAGCCUCUAAGCAUCAGGUAACAUCAAAUCGUACCCCAAACCGACACAGGUGGUCAGGUAGAGAAUACCAAGGCGCUUGAGAGAACUCGGGUGAAGGAACUAGGCAAAAUGGUGCCGUAACUUCGGGAGAAGGCACGCUGAUAUGUAGGUGAAGUCCCUCGCGGAUGGAGCUGAAAUCAGUCGAAGAUACCAGCUGGCUGCAACUGUUUAUUAAAAACACAGCACUGUGCAAACACGAAAGUGGACGUAUACGGUGUGACGCCUGCCCGGUGCCGGAAGGUUAAUUGAUGGGGUCAGCGCAAGCGAAGCUCUUGAUCGAAGCCCCGGUAAACGGCGGCCGUAACUAUAACGGUCCUAAGGUAGCGAAAUUCCUUGUCGGGUAAGUUCCGACCUGCACGAAUGGCGUAAUGAUGGCCAGGCUGUCUCCACCCGAGACUCAGUGAAAUUGAACUCGCUGUGAAGAUGCAGUGUACCCGCGGCAAGACGGAAAGACCCCGUGAACCUUUACUAUAGCUUGACACUGAACAUUGAGCCUUGAUGUGUAGGAUAGGUGGGAGGCUUUGAAGUGUGGACGCCAGUCUGCAUGGAGCCGACCUUGAAAUACCACCCUUUAAUGUUUGAUGUUCUAACGUUGACCCGUGAUCCGGGUUGCGGACAGUGUCUGGUGGGUAGUUUGACUGGGGCGGUCUCCUCCUAAAGAGUAACGGAGGAGCACGAAGGUUGGCUAAUCCUGGUCGGACAUCAGGAGGUUAGUGCAAUGGCAUAAGCCAGCUUGACUGCGAGCGUGACGGCGCGAGCAGGUGCGAAAGCAGGUCAUAGUGAUCCGGUGGUUCUGAAUGGAAGGGCCAUCGCUCAACGGAUAAAAGGUACUCCGGGGAUAACAGGCUGAUACCGCCCAAGAGUUCAUAUCGACGGCGGUGUUUGGCACCUCGAUGUCGGCUCAUCACAUCCUGGGGCUGAAGUAGGUCCCAAGGGUAUGGCUGUUCGCCAUUUAAAGUGGUACGCGAGCUGGGUUUAGAACGUCGUGAGACAGUUCGGUCCCUAUCUGCCGUGGGCGCUGGAGAACUGAGGGGGGCUGCUCCUAGUACGAGAGGACCGGAGUGGACGCAUCACUGGUGUUCGGGUUGUCAUGCCAAUGGCACUGCCCGGUAGCUAAAUGCGGAAGAGAUAAGUGCUGAAAGCAUCUAAGCACGAAACUUGCCCCGAGAUGAGUUCUCCCUGACUCCUUGAGAGUCCUGAAGGAACGUUGAAGACGACGACGUUGAUAGGCCGGGUGUGUAAGCGCAGCGAUGCGUUGAGCUAACCGGUACUAAUGAACCGUGAGGCUUAACCUUACAACGCCGAAGGUGUUU
rnacentral:rRNA from 1 species